UACGGAGGGUGCGAGCGUUGUUCGGAAUCACUGGGCGUAAAGCGCGUGUAGGCGGACUGCUAAGUCUGAUGUGAAAGCCCGAGGCUCACCCUCGGAAGUGCAUUGGAAACUGGCAGACUGGAGUCCCGGAGAGGAGGGUGGAAUUCCUGGUGUAGCGGUGAAAUGCGUAGAUAUCAGGAGGAACACCGGUGGCGAAGGCGGCCCUCUGGACGGUGACUGACGCUGAGACGCGAAAGCGUGGGGAGCAAACAGG
rnacentral:rRNA from 1 species